CUCGUAGGCGGUUUGUCGCGUCUGGUGUGAAAAUCCAGGGCUUAACCCCUGGACCUGCAUCGGGUACGGGCAGACUAGAGUGCGGUAGGGGAGAUCGGAAUUCCUGGUGUAGCGGUGAAAUGCGCAGAUAUCAGGAGGAACACCGGUGGCGAAGGCGGAUCUCUGGGCCGUAACUGACGCUGAGGAGCGAAAGCAUGGGGAGCAACA
rnacentral:rRNA from 1 species